UGCUCGAGUGGCGAACGGGUGAGUAACACGUGAGUAACCUGCCCUUGACUUUGGGAUAACUUCAGGAAACUGGGGCUAAUACCGGAUAGGAGCUCCUGCUGCAUGGUGGGGGUUGGAAAGUUUCGGCGGUUGGGGAUGGACUCGCGGCUUAUCAGCUUGUUUGCGGGGUAGUGGCUUACCAAGGCUUUGACGGGUAGCCGGCCUGAGAGGGUGACCGGCCACAUUGGGACUGAGAUACGGCCCAG
rnacentral:rRNA from 1 species